GACGAACGCUGGCGGCGUGCUUAACACAUGCAAGUCGAACGGAAAGGCCCUGCUUUUGUGGGGUGCUCGAGUGGCGAACGGGUGAGUAACACGUGAGUAACCUGCCCUUGACUUUGGGAUAAUUUAGGGAACCUGGGGCUAUUCCGGGAAAGGGGUUCUGGCGGAUGGGGGGGGGUGGGAAGGUUCGGCGGUUGGGGAUGGACUCGGGGCUUAUCAGCUUGUUGGUGGGGUAGUGGCUUACCAAGGCUUUGACGGGUAGCCGGCCUGAGAGGGUGACCGGCCACAUUGGGACUGAGAUACGGCCCAGACUCCUACGGGAGGCAGCAGUGGGGAAUAUUGCACAAUGGGCGGAAGCCUGAUGCAGCAACGCCGCGUGCGGGAUGACGGCCUUCGGGUUGUAAACCGCUUUCGCCUGUGACGAAGCGUGAGUGACGGUAAUGGGUAAAGAAGCACCGGCUAACUACGUG
rnacentral:rRNA from 1 species